UACAGAGACUGCAAGCGUUAUUCGGAUUCACUGGGCGUAAAGGGUGCGCAGGCGGCCGUGUGUGUCAGGUGUGAAAGCCCGGGGCUUAACCCCGGAAUUGCGCCUGAAACUACAUGGCUAGAGCAUUGGAGAGGGUAGCAGAAUUCAUGGUGUAGCAGUGAAAUGCGUAGAUAUCAUGAGGAAUACCAGAGGCGAAGGCGGCUACCUGGACAAUUGCUGACGCUCAGGCACGAAAGCGUGGGGAGCAAAAGGG
rnacentral:rRNA from 1 species